rnacentral:misc_RNA from 1 species
UUCUAUAAUUUACAAAGGUUUUGGGGGUGCAUUCAAUUUGUGUUCAAAUGCUUGAAUCAAUUUUAUUCUGGUUGCUGGAAUAUAAAUUAGAAUUGAAAGGGAAAAGUUAAUAAAUGUCAAUGCUGGAAUACUUUGGAGGUUAGAAAGAUCGGAGGAAGAAAAUGUGAAAAAAGCUGUGUGCAAUUGUUAAGCUGAGUUGAGCAUUUACUUGGUCACAGUCAGCAUGGUCACUAAACACAGAUGUAUGUGGCUUGUGUUCUAAUUUUCAUAAAUAUGGAUUUUUAAUUGAAGGGAUACAAUAUUAACCUUCUUAAAACUUGUAGCUACAGAGAUGAUGUUGGUAAUAACAGCACUGAAGUUUACAUGUCCCUUUCUGUUCAAUGGAUUUGAAAGUGGCUUAAUUGAUGUCAUUUGCAUGAUAGUGGUCUUAGAAAAAGAAAGACGAAAGAAGCUUACUGAUAGUGGACUUGAUAUUCAUGGAUUGUAGAGCAUAAAACUUCUUCAACGCAAGGAAAAUGCUGUCAUCAGAUGACAUUUGGAGAGUCUUUCUCUAGAGACUUUUAAUUCUGUAAGUCUCAUCACCAUCAUUUCUUUUACUUUAGUUUACCAUGAGAUUAGAGAUGAUCAAAUUAGGAUCUCAGCUACAAUUUAGGAGGUCUUGCCAGAUAAAGAUUACUCUUCAAUAGAAGUCACUGAAUCCCAUGUUAGGUCACAGAAAGUAUUUGGAAGGAAAUAAGCUUUAGUAGAUACGGGGGUCAAUUGACUGAACUGAUUGUGGAUAAAAUUUGUGUGCCAGCUAAACAAGAAUAAUUCACUAUCUCCCUUAUAAUACAUUAUCAUUAGCACUUUCUUCCAAACAAGAAUCCCCUUAGCUCCCCCACUCUCUCUUUUCUUCCCCCAGACAAAGAAGAGCACUCCUUGUUUUACCAUUUGAGAGUACCUAUUGGCAAAAGGGACACCAAAUGAAAGUAGCAUUGGCUAAGGCAGCCCAGAGGAUGGACCUGAAAUACUUUUUAAUGCCAGUGGUCACUGGUUGGUAAUUAGUUCAAUAAAGCUCAAGGAAUUUUGUUCAGAAGUAUCCUUUCAUGCCACUGUUCAAAUAAAAGCUCUGACCAUACCUCUUGUUUUAGAGUACUCACCUUAGUUGCAAACGGUCAUAUCUGAAAUCCAAGCAUUAAAUGUGUAAUGCUGAAGCUUCAUUACAGAAAGCUACUUCCCUCCAGUAUUCCAUAUGUUAACAAUGUUGAAAUGUUCGCUUAACCAUGAAACACCUGCAGCAUCAUAACUAUUUUGAGCUACUUAUUUUGUCAUGUGCACGCCUAUGUUGAAACUGAUGAAAGUACUUGCGAUAAGGUGUCAUAGAACACGGGGGAUAUUAAGGUUGGAAAUGUACAAGUACCAAGAGAAUUUUGUUUCUGUUUUUGCCACACAUCUCCGUAACUGUGGCAAAAGUGAAUUUGCUUUUAGAUUUAGAAUCAGUUCUAUUGCAUGUGUAUGUUUAGUAAUCUGAUUAUUGAUAAGAGCCUUCUCUUCCUACCUCAUGGAUUGCAGUCAAAGCGUCUCCCUUAUAGAGAUUAUACAAAGUCAACAUCUUUAAAUCUUUCUGGGUUCUCUCAUAGCUCGUGGAUCGGUGAAAUGCAGCAAGCUUCUGACA